UGUCGCUUUUAGUUAGUAUUUAGGUUUACCAAUGAAAUUUCAGUUAUGUUUGUUACUAUUUUGUUUAAACAAUUCCUACAACAUACUCUCUUUCGUUUAAACAAUUUUGAUUGGUAGUGUCAAUAACAUUUUCUUUUUGCAAUUUAGAAAGAGAGACGAUGACGUCAGACCCCCAAUAAAGGAUUCUAGUCAAAAAUUUCUUAAAAUAUGUAUAUACAUAUAUAUAAAUAUUAAUAUCUAACUGUGGAUUUCUUAAAAUUACGUG
rnacentral:lncRNA from 1 species